AUUGAACGCUGGCGGCAGGCCUAACACAUGCAAGUCGAGCGGUAGCACAGGGAGCUUGCUCCUGGGUGACGAGCGGCGGACGGGUGAGUAAUGUCUGGGGAUCUGCCUGAUGGAGGGGGAUAACUACUGGAAACGGUAGCUAAUACCGCAUAACGUCGCAAGACCACAGAGGGGGACCUUCGGGCCUCUUGCCAUCAGAUGAACCCAGAUGGGAUUAGCUAGUAGGUAGGGUAAUGGCUCACCUAGGCGACGAUCCCUAGUUGGUCUGAGAGGAUGACCAGCCACACUGGAACUGAGACACGGUCCAGACUCCUACGGGAGGCAGCAGUGGGGAAUAUUGCACAAUGGGCGCAAGCCUGAUGCAGCCAUGCCGCGUGUAUGAAGAAGGCCUUCGGGUUGUAAAGUACUUUCAGCGAGGAGGAAGGCAUUAAGGUUAAUAACCUUAGUGAUUGACGUUACUCGCAGAAGAAGCACCGGCUAACUCCGUGCCAGCAGCCGCGGUAA
rnacentral:rRNA from 1 species